GGCCAGACUCCUACGGGAGGCAGCAGUGGGGAAUAUUGCACAAUGGGGGAAACCCUGAUGCAGCAACGCCGCGUGAGUGAAGAAGUAUUUCGAUAUGUAAAGCUCUAUCAGCAGGGAAGAAGAUGACGGUACCUGAUUAAGAAGCCCCGGCUAACUACGUGCCAGCAGCCGCGGUAAUACGUAGGGGGCAAGCGUUAUCCGGAUUUACUGGGUGUAAAGGGAGCGUAGACGGCAUGGCAAGUCAGAUGUGAAAGCCCGGGGCUCAACCCCGGGACUGCAUUUGAAACUGUCAGGCUGGAGUGCAGGAGAGGUAAGUGGAAUUCCUAGUGUAGCGGUGAAAUGCGUAGAUAUUAGGAGGAACACCAGUGGCGAAGGCGGCUUACUGGACUGUAACUGACGUUGAGGCUCGAAAGCGUGGGGAGCAAACAGGAUUAGAUACCCCAGUAU
rnacentral:rRNA from 1 species